rnacentral:tRNA from 1 species
GGGCCCGUAGCUCAGCAUGGACAGAGCGGCGGCCUCCUAAGCCGUAGGGCGUGGGUUCAAGUCCCACCGGGCCCG